rnacentral:sRNA from 1 species
AAGCUUAAGGGAUUAAGCAAAACGAAAGGAGGUACAGCUGAUGAAAUCUAGGCUAAACAAAAAGCCUAAACGCAAAGAACUAGAAGUCGAAAUCAAGAUUCUUUGGUUUAAGCUUAAGAUUCACUACUCAAUAGAGUGGUGAGGAUAAUUAGAGGGCUAAGAAGUCCUCUCCCCCUAACGGGGUAAGUUUAGUUUAGCACAUUGGCUGUAUCUCCGCAAGAAUGAAAGGAGAGGUUGCAUGAAUUGGAAAAAGCUAAUGCUUGGCAACUUAGAACACACGUUUACUAGUCAUGAUGGCAAAGAAA